GGGAAAGAGGAUGAUCUGGCUGCAACGUCUGUCACCCCAUUGAUUGUCAGGGUUGAUGUGGCUGAUUUGACUGGCUGGGCAGGUGUCCUUUUCCUUCCUCACUGCUCCAUGUGCACCCCUCCCAAAGCUGUGCACUUGGUGGAAAAGAACUACCAUCCCAGAUAGAAGGAGUGUACUGUUCAUUAGUCAAGGGUGUAUGAUACUUGCACUUCCUGGCUAGAACUUCCAAACACUAUGAACAUCAGUAAUGGAAGACUGUAGCUAGAUUAUUGAAGCCAAAGGGCUUAGUUUCUAAUA
rnacentral:snRNA from 1 species